rnacentral:rRNA from 1 species
GAUGAACGCUGGCGGCGUGCCUAAUACAUGCAAGUCGAGCGAAUGGAUUAAGAGCUUGCUCUUAUGAAGUUAGCGGCGGACGGGUGAGUAACACGUGGGUAACCUGCCCAUAAGACUGGGAUAACUCCGGGAAACCGGGGCUAAUACCGGAUAACAUUUUGAACCGCAUGGUUCGAAAUUGAAAGGCGGCUUCGGCUGUCACUUAUGGAUGGACCCGCGUCGCAUUAGCUAGUUGGUGAGGUAACGGCUCACCAAGGCACCGAUGCGUAGCCGACCUGAGAGGGUGAUCGGCCACACUGGGACUGAGACACGGCCCAGACUCCUACGGGAGGCAGCAGUAGGGAAUCUUCCGCAAUGGACGAAAGUCUGACGGAGCAACGCCGCGUGAGUGAUGAAGGCUUUCGGGUGGUAAAACUCUGUUGUUAGGGAAGAACAAGUGCUAGUUGAAUAAGCUGGCACCUUGACGGUACCUAACCAGAAAGCCACGGCUAACUACGUGCCAGCCGCCGCUGUAA